AUAUCUUUAUUUUAAUAAAGUUGAAGUUAAAAGAAAAAAUCUGUUCUUAUCAGUUCAAUACCUGAUACAUGCCCUAUCUGGGAACCAUAUAUUAAAUUGAUUUUUGGAACAGGGAGAUGGAAUAGGGGCUUGCGCCGUCCACUCCGCGCAUCGACCUGGUGUUGCAGUAUCUCCAGGAACGGAGGCGGUGGAAAAUAA
ensembl:snRNA U2 U2 spliceosomal RNA